rnacentral:rRNA from 1 species
GACGAACGCUGGCGGCGUGCUUAACACAUGCAAGUCGAACGGGAUUUAGUAGACAGAAGCCUCGGCUAAAGAUUACUAAUGAGAGUGGCGAACGGGUGAGUAACGCGUGAGCAACCUGCCUAUGACAGUGGGAUAGCCUCGGGAAACCGGGAUUAAUACCGCAUAAAAUCGUAGAAACACAUGUUUUAACGGUCAAAGAUUUAUCGGUCAUAGAUGGGCUCGCGCCUGAUUAGCUAGUUGGUGAGAUAACAGCCCACCAAGGCGACGAUCAGUAGCCGGUCUGAGAGGAUGAACGGCCACAUUGGAACUGAGACACGGUCCAAACUCCUACGGGAGGCAGCAGUGGGGAAUAUUGCACAAUGGGGGAAACCCUGAUGCAGCGACGCCGCGUGAACGAAGAAGGUAUUCGUAUCGUAAAGUUCUGUCCUAUGGGAAGAUAAUGACAGUACCAUAGAAGAAAGCUCCGGCUAAAUACGUG